CUACAGUCAGAGCUCGCGAAAGAAGGUGGAACGUAAGCGAGACACCAUUUCCAAAACUGAAAGCAACCAUGUAAUGCCUCAGGAGUCUGUAGAGGGGACGAAGACGCAUUCUGCUGCACUUAACAGAGCUCAAGACCAACGAGACGCCAUCAGGACGCCAUCAGGACGCCACGUCAACGGGACGCCAUCCGGACGCCACGUCAACGGGACGCCAUCAGGACGUCACGUCAACCCCUCAGGAGCAAAUCCAGAUCUACGCAUGACACACACACACACACACAGAUGCCAACAGGACGCCAUCAGGACGCCACGUCAUCGGGACGCUACGUCAUCGGGACGCCAUCAGGACGCCACGUCAUCGGGACGCCAUCAGGACGCCACGUCAUCGGGACGCCAUCAGGACGCUACGUCAUCGGGACGCCAUCAGGACACCACGUCAUCAGGACGCCAUCAGGACACCGCGUCAACCCCUCAGGAGCAAAUCCAGAUCUACUUAUGACACUCACACACACACACAUAU
ensembl:lncRNA